AUGUCAAAGCGCGUCAAGACGAAAUGUGGCCAAAUCGAUCCAGGAGGAAAACGUCCAGUUUUCCCGCAACAACGUCUCAGUCCCGAAAGGCCUCCGAUGCUCCGUCGGGUCCCUGCUGGGCUCUGGAGCCCGGGGACUGUGCUGGACCCCACGUCUCCGCGGCACGUUACGGCCCCGCCCGAGGCCGCCGCAGCGGAGCCCACCCCUCCGGCAGCAGCGUCUCACCUCCGGGUGCUCCACGACCUCCGUACGGAUGGCCAGGGCGCCGAGCCGCUGCUCCAGCGCCGCCCGCAAGUCCGCGCCCGCCAUGCCGCCGCCGUGGCCCGCGCAGAGACAGGGCGGGGCAGCGGCCGGGUGGGCGGGGCUUCCGGGAGGCCGGGGCGGAAGUACCCGGAAGUCCGGGCGGCGCCUUCCGGAGGCGGGCUCUCCCCUCGCUCCUCCCCGACCCCCCCCGUCGCCUCCCCGGAAGUCGUCUGCGGAGAUUGCCCGGCGGGAAGGCUUCGGGGGUGGUUCGCGCGCGUUCCACGGGCGGAAGGUUUUCCAAAAAUGAAACUAGAAAGCGUUGGAAUAGCAAAGAUCACCCACUUGAAGAUGCUACAUAUCCCAAAUAACUGUCCUUAAAUAUUUGAAGAUGUUCCAGAAAACCCAAAUCCGGUCAUGGUGAACUGAGAGUAAACGGGGGAAAGAAGAAUUGGAAUCUGGUUGUAACCAAGAAAGGUUAAGUGUGGAAAAGUAUGAAGACAUUAACCCAGGGUAGGAUCUUCACGACAGCUACAAAAGAGGAAUGCAAAGAGCCCAAACUGGCAGCGGCGGCAUCUGCAUAUUGUCUAGGCGGUUGAGCCCUCUGACCUAGAAAUCUUUUGGAGAUUAACUGCCAUCAAUUAUUCAAAGUAUGAAUUCUCCUCCCCUCCACCCCAGCACACCACACACACACCCUAUAACUAAUCCAUCACAGUUUCUCAAAUCCUUCCACUUACCACCUCCACCACCCCAGCCCAAACUACCUUCCUUUCCCCACGUGGCUGACACUAAUGUCUACCUGUGUCUACCUGUGAUAGAAUGACCAAGUAUCCUGCUCUAAGCAAGUCUUACAACCAAAGAUUUUUAUAAUAAAAUGGAACUAAAUCUAUGGUAAAAGAACCUA
rnacentral:lncRNA from 12 species